rnacentral:rRNA from 1 species
CCCGCAACGAGUGCCACACAAGGCCAUUAGUUGCCAUCAUUAAGUUGGGCACUCUAAUGGGACUGCCGGUGACAAACCGGAGGAAGGUUUUGAUGACGUCAAGUCCUCAUGGCCCUUAUGACCAGGGCUUCACACUUCAUACUAUGGUCGGUACAGAGGGUCGCGAAUCCCCGAGGUGGAUCCCAUCUUAUAAAACCGAUGGUAGUCCGGAUCGCACUCUGCAACUCGAGUGCGUGAAGUCGGAAUCGCUUUAAUCGCACAUCAGCAUGCUGCGGUGAAUACUUU